UACGAAGGGGGCGAGCGUUGUUCGGAUUUACUGGGCGUAAAGGGCUCGUAGGCGGCCAACUAAGUCAGACGUGAAAUCCCCAGGCUUAACCUGGGAACUGCGUCUGAUACUGGAUGGCUUGAAUUCGGGAGAGGGAUGCAGAAUUCCAGGUGUAGCGGUGAAAUGCGUAGAUAUCUGGAGGAAUACCGGUGGCGAAGGCGGCAUCCUGGACCGACAUUGACGCUGAGGAGCGAAAGCUAGGGGAGCAAACAGG
rnacentral:rRNA from 1 species